UACGUAGGGUGCAAGCGUUAAUCGGAAUUACUGGGCGUAAAGCGUGCGUAGGCGGUUUUGUAAGUCAGAUGUGAAAUCCCCGGGCUCAACCUGGGAACUGCAUCUGUGACUGCAUAGCUAGAGUACGGUAGAGGGGGAUGGAAUUCCGCGUGUAGCAGUGAAAUGCGUAGAUAUGCGGAGGAACACCGAUGGCGAAGGCAAUCCCCUGGAUCUGUACUGACGCUCAUGCACGAAAGCGUGGGGAGCAAACAGG
rnacentral:rRNA from 1 species